AGAUCACGUUGAAAUACUAGUCCCCAUACGAUCACUGAAGUUAAACAAUAUCAAGCCUGUUCAGUACCUAGGUGGGUGGCUACUUGGGAAUACUAGGUGCUGUAAG